GAGAGCUCCUGUCCCCUUGCAGUAUUGCAUGCCUGACACCAGAAGGUGGUCUGCAAAAGUUAUAAAUAGCAGCACUUUGUAACCCCACCCACAAGCCAAAAUGGAGUCCAACAGCAAGGUGUAAGGGAGGGCUUCUCUUAAUUCUCGAGAAAGUUCCACUAAAAUAUUGCCUUCAGAUGGGAAAGCCAAGGCUCUGAGAGGAGAAGUAACUUACCCAAGAUCCCACAGGACGUCGGUUUCAGAGCUGAGAUCCCAGUGAGGUACCUUCUUAUCUGCUGGACCAUACUAUGGCACCAGGGCUUGCCCCUCUAUUUCCAGUGAAAGGAAGCCACCAUCAAGAAGCCCUGUGCAGUGACCUUUCCCCAGUGAGAUGGGAUAACUUCGUAUUAUCUGUGUAUUACCAUAGAACCUAG